rnacentral:rRNA from 1 species
AUUGAACGCUGGCGGCAGGCUUAACACAUGCAAGUCGAGCGGAGAUGAGGUGCUUGCACCUCAUCUUAGCGGCGGACGGGUGAGUAAUGCUUAGGAAUCUGCCUAUUAGUGGGGGACAACAUUCCGAAAGGAAUGCUAAUACCGCAUACGUCCUACGGGAGAAAGCAGGGGAUCUUCGGACCUUGCGCUAAUAGAUGAGCCUAAGUCGGAUUAGCUAGUUGGUGGGGUAAAGGCCUACCAAGGCGACGAUCUGUAGCGGGCCUGAGAGGAUGAUCCGCCACACUGGGACUGAGACACGGCCCAGACUCCUACGGGAGGCAGCAGUGGGGAAUAUUGGACAAUGGGGGAAACCCUGAUCCAGCCAUGCCGCGUGUGUGAAGAAGGCCUUAUGGUUGUAAAGCACUUUAAGCGAGGAGGAGGCUACUGAGACUAAUACUCUUGGAUAGUGGACGUUACUCGCAGAAUAAGCACCGGCUAACUCUGUGCCAGCAGCCGCAGUAA